rnacentral:ncRNA from 1 species
GGUCAUCGCGCUUGGUUGAAAAGCCAGUGGCGCGAAGCUACCGUUCGCUGGAUUAUGACUGAACGCCUCUAAGUUAGAAUCCGGGCUAGAAGCAACG